UACGGAGGGGGCUAGCGUUGUUCGGAAUUACUGGGCGUAAAGGGCGCGUAGGCGGCCACGACAAGUCACUUGUGAAAUCUCCGGGCUUAACUCGGAACGGUCAAGUGAUACUGUCGGGCUAGAGUACAGAAGGGGCAACUGGAAUUCUCGGUGUAGCGGUGAAAUGCGUAGAUAUCGAGAGGAACACCUGCGGCGAAGGCGGGUUGCUGGGCUGAUACUGACGCUGAUGCGCGAAAGCCAGGGGAGCGAACGGG
rnacentral:rRNA from 1 species